GAGGGUAUAGUUCAAGUGGUAGAGUGCGUGCUUAGCAGGCAUGAGGUCCUGGGUUCAAUCCCCAGCACCUCCC
rnacentral:tRNA from 1 species